rnacentral:rRNA from 1 species
CCUACGGGAGGCAGCAGUGGGGGAUAUUGCACAAUGGGGGAAACCCUGAUGCAGCGACGCCGCGUGGGUGAAGAAGUAUUUCGGUAUGUAAAGCCCUAUCAGCAGGGAAGAAAGAAGACGGUACCUGACUAAGAAGCCCCGGCUAACUACGUGCCAGCAGCCGCGGUAAUACGUAGGGGGCGAGCGUUAUCCGGAUUCACUGGGUGUAAAGGGAGCGUAGACGGCCGUGCAAGCCAGGAGUGAAAGCCCGGGGCCCAACCCCGGGACUGCGCUUGGAACUGUGCGGCUGGAGUGCGGGAGGGGCAGGCGGAAUUCCUGGUGUAGCGGUGAAAUGCGUAGAUAUCAGGAGGAACACCGGCGGCGAAGGCGGCCUGCUGGACCGCGACUGACGUUGAGGCUCGAAAGCGUGGGGAGCGAACAGGAUUAGAUACCCGAGUAGUC